rnacentral:rRNA from 1 species
CAGUAGCCACGGGAAUACGAGGGGGGCAAGCGUUGUUCGGAAUUAUUGGGCGUAAAGGGUGCGUAGGCGGUUUCGUAAGUCUGAUGUGAAAUCUAUGGGCUCAACCCAUAGUCUGCAUCGGAAACUGCGAGGCUUGAGAGUGGGAGAGGUGAGUGGAAUUUCCGGUGUAGCGGUGAAAUGCGUAGAUAUCGGAAGGAACACCUGUGGCGAAAGCGGCUCACUGGACCAUUUCUGACGCUGAUGCACGAAAGCUAGGGGAGCAAACAGGAUUAGAGACCCCCGUAGUCCCUGUCUCUUAUAC